CUUGUUAUCAGAAGACCUGCAA
rnacentral:siRNA from 1 species